GAGCGGGGACGGGUCACUAGCCUGGGGGUGGCCUGGUUGGUCUUGGGCGUAGGAUGGGCCGAGUGGACCUGGCUGGACUUGGACCCUCCCUGGGCUGGCGCCCUUCCCUCUCCUCUCCCCGCGGGGCUUGGAAGGGCUUGGCCUGCCGGGAGAGCAAAGCCGACAGUCUCCUGUCCUGUCUCAGGACCUCGCCCCUCUCGAGUCCCGGCCCUGGGCAAGCCUUGGGCAAGCCUGCCCAGCACCUGUCUCGGCUCCUCACCAGGUGCGCCUUCUUUCCUGCCCACUGAGGAAUCCAUGUGCCAGUGUGCGGGUCCGAAUACCCAGGUGACCAAGACUGUCUGAAGAGCUACUAGGCUGUCCUCAGAAGACACAAUGUCUCACUGCAGCAUCACACAGCACGAGCGGUCACAGGCACCGCAGUGACCUCCGAUGGCCCAGGAGUGACCCCAGUUCCUGCCAGCCCUGGGAGGAAAAAAGCAGCUCGUCUCAUGCCCCCGCCCUUGACACACGAGACAAUCCACGUUGCUGGCAUAUUAUCAUACGUUAGCAGAUCUCUGAGAGCCAAACUGCAGACCACAGCAGCUGGGCCGGGGCCUGGAGCGGGCCUGGGAUCCUCCCCCUGGAUGGGACCAGCCUGCCUCGAAUUCCCCACACACUGUGUUCCAGGCACUUCCCCCUUCAUUAGCACUGUGUGUGCCAUUCACCACCCUCUCCAUCGCUGUCACCGCGGUCCUUCCCGUGAGAAGUGCACCCAGGGGCCUGCAUUUAUAAAUAAGUCCAUGGUGUUUGUUGGAGAAUGAAGGGAGCAGAGAGAGCAGCCUUGGAAUUAUCAUCCGCUUGGAAUGAUGUCAGAUCAAGCCCUGGGAAGCCUUAUACUGCCCAGCCUUCCUGUCUCACACACACACACACACACACACACACACACACACACACUAGAGAGUAGGGGCUGGUGGCCAUGUUAUCUCCGGCUGGAGCGUGGGGUCAGGGCAGGGAGGCUUCCUGUCUCCACAGUAGAUGGCUAAAAGGGCCAGGGAACUGGUUGCAUGCAGAAAGCAGUCCCAGUGGCCAGCUAUGUCGUCCAAGUCCUCCGGGGAGUACAGGUUUCCCAGGCGUGAGCGGCACCCAACACCCCCAGCUACAGAGGCCCCCCUCCCCUGCUACGGAGAGAGGUCUGGAGCAGUCAACCUGAGCGCGAUUUGGAGUGUGGGGCAUCUGCUGGCCUCAGUAGGACUCUGCCUCCACGCGGGGCCUGCUUUCCACAGAGAGAACUCACAUUGUCACCUCAGCCACCCCUUACGCUCAGCCCAGAACACAAGGGCACAGAUCACGUGGUGGCGAGUCGGCCACCUAGGGAACAAGGGUUGCUGUAACACCCCCUUCACAAACCGCUGAGGCAGCCCGACCACACCCUUGGGGGCUAGAGCCAGCCAGCCUGCCCUCCUUCCCCACAGCCUCUUUGUCACAAAGCACGGCCUGGGGGCAGCACGGCUGGGUCUGCUGAGCUCAGAGGAGAUUGUGUGAUGGCCAGAGUGAUGGAGUGAAGAUCAAAGCAAGUAAACCAGUCCCCGCACCCGCUGCCCUGGUCAGGGAAAUACACCCAACACAGCAGCCGAGGGUUCCUCCCGUGUGGUGCUGGAAUCCAAAGCUGUGCACCUGACCUUGCUUGCUUGCUUGCUUGCCGAAGCAUCUGACUGCAUUUCAUCAGGCAAGGUGAUCGGGGGGGGGGGGGGUUCCCCUUGCGCCCCCCUUGCUGAAGGAGCGACUCCUAACCCGUCACUGGCCAAGUCCCUGGCCCGUGACUGGGGCAGGGGUGGGGGGAGGUGAGGUGGCACCUGUGCAGAGGGGAAGCUCUAGCCAAGCACGCUCGUGAGGAGCCCCCGCCUGGAUGACGGCGAAGGCUAGAGAUGUGCUCCACAAGGAGAGGUGAGCAUGCACGGAGCGUCCAAGACGAGCAUACGGGACGACGAGACAGAGGACACACACAUCAACAGUGCUGCAACCCAGCACUCUCUUCUUUGGGGCUGGCAAACUGACCUGCACUUUACAGCUGCCCUGGGUCCUGAGCUUCCGGAACCGCGUGCUGCCCCGUUUCUGUGUUCCCGUGUUCCCGGAUCACCUUAUAACCAGGCAUAUCGACAACA